GACAGAGGCCUCAAGCGUUAGGCGGAAUCACUGGGCUUAAAGCGUGUGUAGGCGGAUCGUUAAGUGCCUUGUGAAAUCCCACGGCUUAACUGUGGAACGGCUGGGCAUACUGGCGGUCUUGAGCCAUCUAGGGGCGACUGGAACAAACGGUGGAGCGGUGAAAUGCGUAGAUAUCGGGAGGAACACCUGUGGCGAAAGCGGCUCACUGGACCACAACUGACGCUGAGGCGCGAAAGCUAGGGGAGCAAACAGG
rnacentral:rRNA from 1 species